UAACGCGUGAGCAAUCUGCCUUUAAGAGGGGGGUAACAGUCGGAAACGGCUGCUAAUACCGCAUAAAGCAUCGAAACCGCAUGAUUUUGAUGCCAAAGGAGCAAUCCGCUUUUAGAUGAGCUCGCGUCUGAUUAGCUGGUUGGCGGGGUAACGGCCCACCAAGGCGACGAUCAGUAGCCGGACUGAGAGGUUGAACGGCCACAUUGGGACUGAGACACGGCCCAG
rnacentral:rRNA from 1 species